UUUUGAACCACUCCACAUAAAUCACAACAGAAAAGCCAACUCCAGUCCACGACUGGAAAACUCAAGGGACCUCCCAGUCAGGGACUCCAAAGUUAGCCUCAAAAGGGACUUCACAGUCUUUGACCUUUUGGGUUUUUUUUCCCCCUUCCUCCCCUGUGUGUUUUGUUUUUAAACCAGACUGACGGCAAGUUUUAGUUGUAAAGCUUGGUGGAAACAAUGACAGCCUCGCCUUUUGCACUUACAACCAAGCCUGCUUGUCACACUUGGACACUUUUUGACUGCAUGGUACUUGUGUUCUAACAGCUCACACGCUGUCCUAAAUUCAUCGUGGAAAAACUUUCAGAAGCUAGUAAAAUUUUAAAGUCCAUCUUUCCAAGGCUAUGCUCACCCUAGGGCGAUAUAUAAUGGGGUCCGGGAUCACAUUCCUUUGAUAGUGAAAAACACCACAUCCCUUUAAAAAGUGCCAGGAUCCGGUGAGGAGUAAGAAUACCCGGAACCACAAACUUUUAGACAAAAGGUAAGGCGACUGGAAUGCUCCAAGGACCCCCCCACAGGGAAAAGCGAGGUGCGAGGGUCCCCUGGAACAUCGGCCGCAAAGCUCUACCCCAGAAACAGCACUAGAAACCACGCGGUGGCUCGCCUGGGCAUGGGGUGUCAGGGAAGACAAUGAAACUUGGAGGCGCACAAACAAGGCGCUGAGCGUGUUUCUUGACAACGUGCCAGCAGCGUGGCGAGGCUGAGUCUCCCCAUAACAGCCCCUCGUGUUGUGUCUAGAAGAAAAGAACAGCAACUACCAUCAGAGACACAGCCUCAACAAAGAACAGCUACCGCUCCAGCCGGGGAGCCACCGGGCGGAAAAGUCCCAUCAAGGUAGCGGAGCCCAGAAGCAGGGUCAUGUCUGCCAGCCCGUGGCGAGAGUAUGGUCCGCAUCCCUCAGCUGCCACACCGGUUUCUCUUUUGGGGCCUUUCCUCUCCCGGCUGGCGAAGAGUGAGUUUAGUUUGCAAAGGAUGGGGAGAGGGUUAAGGACAUCUCCUCUGUCCACCCCCGGGGAAGAAAAGACACCCCCACCCUUGUUUUUGACAGCUGCCCUAAAACUCCACCGUCCCUGCUCUAGCCGCCCCAGGCAGCGGCUUCUGAUUCAAGGGGUGGGGCACCGAAGGAAAAGUAUUCCGGACAAGAACCAACUUCUUCCAGAAGGUGCAGCUGCCAUUGACACGCGGGCGCGGCGCGGCGCGGCGCACCCUCCUCCUCGUGGACUCUUCUGCCAACAGUGACAGUGGGAGUGUGUGUGUGUGGGGGGGCAGACAUAGGCACCCGGGGCAAAUGUCUAUUCCCCGGGGCUAAAGCUCUGAGUUCCGGAUUGGAUUGCAAGGCAGUUUCGAAAUCUAACACGUUGUGGAUAGACACUUGUCAUACUCACAUGCUCUUUAAACGUCUCGGCCAGGGGACGGCCAGAACGUGCGUGUGUGCCCCACUGCGACUCCCCCACCCCCCACACGCCUUUAGAAAAAAGAUGGACGACUACGCCUGGACUGCUCAUCUGUUUCGGUAAACAGUGUCUACUUUGUGGGCUAAUAUCCCACCAGAGGACACUCCCCUCCACCCUUCAGUAUUUCAAACAGAAACUAGCCAUUAAAUAAACACUCGUUCCUAUUGGUUUAUUUUGCUUGAGAGGGGCGCUCCAAAGGGAGUUCCACGAAGAAUCCCCCCCUCCCCAAAUACAAGCCAGAUGCUGUUUUGGCCAACUUCGAGACGCACAUGCCCGCACUUCUGGGUCUAGAUUCUACCUAUGCCCGGUUGUUUAAAAAAAAAAAAUGCAAAGAAAACCAACUGUCACAUGUCACGGAAGACUUUCCCCAUUAGAGGGGGGGAAAAAAACGAAGAAAAACCCCAAACGUAAAUAAGCUUUGUAGCGACGUCACCGCCGGUGUCUCUAGUUUCGGCUCUGUGGCUGUUCUGGUUUUGUGACCUCGGUGGAGAUCCGGCAGGAGGAGACAGACCCGUGAAAACAAGGUUAAAGCCGAGUCACACUAAGGCGGCCACAGGAUGACCCGCUAGACUUUGGAACCUGUUUACGAUUACGUUGGAAAUUAAAGCAAGCCUCCGCCGCGCCCCCUUCCCAAAGACAACCCGUUCCGAGGAGCGCGUUAAAACCCCCGAGUCAAAAAAGAAGCUUGGGUGGUUUUUCCAAAAUGAACCAAGUGGAGGAAGAGUCACAGUAAGCAGGCAGGAAUCUCAAAACGACCCUCCCCUCCCCCCAAAUCCUGUGGUUUGCAGAGCGCUCGCUCGGUAAGAGAGCACACGCGGGAAUCGGCGCAGGCGGCGGUUGCACGGCAGUGUCCAGGGCGAACCCACCGGCUGGCAAGCACCUCCGCAAGCCGCCCGGGGCGCAGCGCUUUCCCGGACCUGACUGGGGAUGACUCAGCUGCUGCGCUCCAGUGCGGGACUCCUGUGGUGCGGGAGGGGGCCCGCGGAGGGCCCGGGCGCCCGUUGGAGGGCCCUCGCUCUGGGGUUUGAAGGGGUGUUUGUGGCUGGGAUUGGUGGCUCACAUCCGCCGGGGACUCGGGAGAGAUGGGAGGACAGACGCAGGGAGGAGGAGCUGGACGGCGUGAGUGGCAGGAGCCGAGUCCGGACCUGGCGGUGACUGCCUCGUCGCUUUGUUUGCUAACUUGGACUGUGGCUUUCGGGGGGCCACCCCACGGAACCCGCCUCGGGUCCGCUAAGCCCAACCCACGGCAGCACGAGGCCGAAACGUUCCUUCCCGGCGGUUAUGCGCGGCCACGCGGUGGCUCUCAUUAUGUACACAAAGGUAGCUUUUCUUUUCUCCCAAGUCAGCCUGGCUAAUGAAUGCGAUUCUCGGGCGGCACUGGUGGAAACCGGGUUUACCGUUUGAAAACAAACUUUACAGGGCGAGCGGGAGCCGGUACAGAGUAGAAGAAGCCUCUCUCAAACCAGGACGCGAGGGGAAAUGCAGAAUUAAAACUCACCGUGACGCGAAGGCCAGCCGGACCCCGCCAAUGCACACCUCCUGCUCGUGUAAAUCAUUUCGAGGCAGUUGGGAAGCCGGAGCGCGCUGGCCGGGUUCUGAGAUCAGCUGAAGCCCCACGGUGCCCCUCCCCCAGCCCCACUCCACCCCUAAGGCCGAGCUCGUUGGGAGUUUCGCGUUCCCGCAGGACUGUGCGCCGGGUCUUUUACAACUCCAGAAAAGGGGAACGCCCCCGCCCCCCUCCUCCCCGGCGCGAGCUCAUAACAUCCGCAAUAUUUUUUUUUAAUCCGCUGUCUGCACGGCGGAAAAACAAGCUUCGGUUCUGCCUGUGUCAGGGCCUCUCGGUGUAACUGAUUCAAGUGACUUCGGGUUAGUUGCUGUUGCCACGUGUUACUUACUGAACGCUUAUGCCUCAUAAUCAAAUUGUCUAAGUGCAACCGAACGAUUUUUCUGCGCUCUCACAGCCUGGUGAUAACCGUUUCUCACCAUUAUCUCUGUGUGUGUGUGUGUGUGUGUGUGUGUGUGUGUGUGUGUGUGUUGUUGUUGUUGUUGUUGUUUUUCUUCUGUUUUAACAGCUUUUCUUGUCUUAAGACAAGCAGAGCUGUUAAAAAGACAAAUCCGUUUUCGCGGUCUCCAGACCCUGAAAGGGCAGAAAUUCAAAUGGCACAAACUUGGGAAGGCUGAGAGAGGAGGCGGGAUGAAUAAGUAAGUGCUCCAGGUCCGUUAAAGGCUUGAGGGAGGUGUUUGUUUCACCUGGACGGUCGAUUAGGUAUGAUUCCCAUCAGGUGCUGGGUCUGGUGGGACUCACAUAGUCAUUGGAUCUCGUUCCCUCGAAGCCUAGCGAGGGCAGAUAUUUAUAAAAUAUGCAGGCUGCUGGGCUUCCAACACUGCACAAGGGACUUGUAAUCAUCUCGUCACAUCUCAGCUCUGAGGAGCUCUAGCUGCUCAAGGCAAGAGCUAACCAUUGUCUUUGCAAGGGGCCGGAGUUGGUCCCGGCCAUCUUGUGAUGAGUUUAUCAACACUAUCAGAAUAAUUCUCUUCUUCAGAAAUAAGUAGCUGGCACUACUGAUCACUUUCUUCAAGUCAACCCAGUCGCCCGCCUUUCCUUUUUUUUUUUUUUUUAAAGUGGAAGUCACUCUUCUUAACCUAGGUGAUGUGGGCUGAAGUUCCCUGAAAAAGCCACACCUAGCUGAUUCUGCUGGGUGAGUGCUUGAUUAGGGCCUCCUGGUUGGGGACAGUUGGAAUGAUACAGAUCCAGAGUCAGAUUAUCCUGAUCUAUCUUAACUCUCCCUCUUAGCCAUCCAUCACCUGCUUCCGUAUCGGCCUACCCUUCUUUUGACUCUCAGUUUAAAAUUCAGCAGACAGGCAGCUUCCACCACCUCAAUGGCUACAAGUGCCAUAGGUGUGUCAGGCUUCUCUAACUUACCUCACUUCAGCCCCACCAAGGUAUUUGGUAAGUGCGUUCAUUUAUAGCUUUGUGUAUGACUAGCAGCUCAUAUGAUAACUUCCAUGGUGGAACACGUCUCUGGCAUCUACCCAAAUCUGGGUUCCCUGGGCCAUGAUCACCCUCAUACUCGGCUGGGGAUAAAUGAUCUAUUACCGUCUGUCUGUCUGUGGAACGAGAACUGUGGUUUUCUUCUAACAAUGGCCUUAUUGAGCUCUUAGUAUUUAUUUCCUUUAUUUUCAACAUCUUGUAUCUUCAUUGUGCUUCAUGCUUUCUGAAACACUGAAAUGCUCUCAUUUAAUGGCCAAAUUAGUAUAAGUUAUAUUUUUCUUAAAAGUCAAGAUAACUUGAACCAAUUCAAAAGUGCCAUCACUAAACCGCACAGACUACCCAGCCCUCAGAAUCUGUCGUUCUAGAAGGUCACAGGGAUAAUGAUGGCUUAGACAUCAGAGACACCAAGAUCCGAAUAUUGCCAAGGUAGCCUCCAAAUGUCCUUCCUUGGUUAAAAUCCUGAUCUUUCCUACAGUCUUGCUAACCUUGAAGCUUCUGGCUUCCUUUUGGUCUAUCACGUGAGUGUGUUCGAGCAUGGGUGUGUUUGCGCACGUGUGUUGUAUGCACAUGAGUGCAGGUUCACCCUGGAGGCCAGAAGGUUUUGCCCAGGCUGGCUGGAGGGAUCACAGGCUGCUGCCUACUCAACUUGACCUCUCUGGAAGAGAAGGGAAUGUUUUCACCUACUGAUCUAUUUUUCCCCCCUUAAGUUCAAAUUUCUGUGUUUAAGAGAAUCAGCUCAUUGUGUAUUCAUCUGUCAUUCUCAUUUCUUCUUGUCUGUUUGUAAUCAUAGCCACAUUACUUUUUAAAACUUUUUAUUUGUGUGUGUAUGUGCCUGAGAGAGACAGAGACAGAGACAGAGAGACAGAGACUAUAUGUGGAUCUGGGGACCUGAGGUGCUGCAUUGCCAGGAGUUGGUUCUCUUCUCCCACCAUGUGGGGAUUAAACUUGGGUAACCAAGCUUGCACGGUAAAAGCUUGAACCUAAUGAGCCAUUUUGCUGGCCCCCUUUGCCAGGUUUUCUAUGGUACCUUUAGGGAGUACCCUGGCUGGCCUUGAACUUGCUGGGUAAAUGGUGGGUGAAACCCAGGCAGGACCUAGUGCAGGCAAACCCUCUCUCACCACGGCUAUACCUCAGCCUGGAUGGUUUUGUAUCUACCUUUACAGCUCAUCUGGGGGCUGUGGAGAUGGCUCAGAGGUUAAGAACACUGACUGCUAUUUUAGAGGUCCUGACUUCAAUUUCCAGCAACCACAUAAAUAAAAUAAGUAUUUAAAUAAGUAUUUUUUAAUAGAAAAGAUUUUUUUAAAGAAAGAACACUAUACACACACACACACACACACACACACACACACACACACAUACAUAUACACUGUAGCUGUCUUCAGACACACCAGAAGAGGGCAUUACAGAUGGUUGUGAGCCACCAUGUGGUUGCUGGGAUUUGAACUCAGGACCUCUGGGAGUGCAGUCAGUGCUCUAAUCACUGAGCCAUCUCUGGAGUGUCACAAAUAAAUCUUAGAAAGAAAAAAAAAGUUCAUUUGGCAAAAAGCAGUGAACAAGCAUUAUGAUUGCAUGAGGCGAAAUGCUCUGGGUUUUCUUUAAACAGUGUUUGGGAUAAGUGCACAUUCUUAUGUAGUAAAAACCACACACCUCAAGAGUUUUAAACUCUGGCCUCUCAUCCCAUCAAAAGGCCAAUUCACUCACACAUUACCACUGCCCAAACUUGUAGAGGAAACAUUUACAAUAGCAACAAGGUGAUGCAAUAUCUUUGAAUAAAAUUAACAAGAAAUAUGUCCCAGGUUUAGAAAAACUUUGAGCAUGAAGGGAGACCAGAAAAUAGAAAGAAAAACAGAAAGGCAACUCUUCCUAGUGAGGUUCCAACAGCAAAGAGCAUGUGAUGCUUGUCCUUCCCGAGUCAUUUUUAAAUUCAAAGCAAAUUCCACGAAAAAAAAUGGCAGUUAUUUUCUGUUUUGUGUUUUCAUCAACAAACAGUGGUGCAGUUCACGUGAAUUAGCAAGGGGCUCUAGUUAAAAAUAAAAACUGUAGGGAGGCAAAGUUUAGAACAGAGGCUGAAGGAACACCCAUUCAGAGCCUGCCCCACAUGUGGCCCAUACAUAUACAGCCACCCAAUUAGACAAGAUGGAUGAAGCAAAGAAGUGCAGGCCGACAGGAACCGGAUGUAGAUCUCUUCUGAGAGACACAGCCAGAAUACAGCAAAUACAGAGGCGAAUGCCAGCAGCAAACCAGUGAACUGAGAAUAGGACCCCGAUUGAAGGAAUCGGAGAAAGGACUGAAAGAGCUGAAGGGGCUUAAGACCCCAUAUGAACAACAAUGCCAACCAACCAGAGCUUCCAGGGACUAAGCCACUACCCAAAGACUAUACAUGGACUGACCCUGGGCUCCAAUCUCAUAGGUAGCAAUGAAUAGCCUCGUAAGGGCACCAGUGGAAGGGGAAGCCCUUGGUCCUGCCAAGACUGAACCCCCAGUGAAGGGGAUUCUUGGGGUGAGGGGGGGAAGAGGGGGAGGAUGGGGAGGGGAACAGCCACAUAGAAGGGGAGGGGGAGGGGCCAGGGUGAUGUUGGCCUGGAAACCAGAAAAGGGAAUAACAUUUGAAAUGUAAAUAAGAAAUACCCAAUUUAAUAAAGAUGGAGAAAAAAAUAAAAAUAUAAAAGCUGGAAGGCCUGGGGCAGGUGGACCUCUAUGAGUUCAAGGCAAGCCUAGUCUGCACAGGGAGAUCAAAGACAGCCAGAGUAGUUACAUACUAGAGAAUCUGAAUUAAAAAAAAAGCAAGCAGGAAAGAUGGGCUCGGCUGCUUAGGAUGAGGACAAGGGAUAGGCUGAGCUGAAUUCGAGGUCAAGCCUUAACAACAAAGUGAGACUCUAUAAAAAUUAAAUAUGCCACCAUUAACCUCAGCAUGCAGGAGGCAGAGAGGCAAGCAUAUCUCUAACUUUGAAGCCAGCCUGGUCUGCAGAGAGAGUUCCAGGACAGCCAGGAGCCAGGGCUACACAGAGAAACUGUUUACCAAAAAAAAAAAAAAAAAAAAAAAAAGACAUAAAAGUAAUUCAAAGCCAGGCACUAGGGAUCCAUCCCUUUAGCCCCAGUACUUGAGAGGCAGAGGUAGGUGGAUAUUUGUGAGCUGGAGGCCAGCGUGGUCUACACAGCAAGUUCCAGGAUAGCCAGAGCUAUCCCCCACUAACCUCUCCAAAAAAAAAAAAAAAAAAAUUAAAAUGCACAGAAGUAGAUUCUCACAGUGUUGUGAAGAGUUGAACAUCAGGUUCUACAAGGAGGCAUAAAGAACUCUAACGUUGGAGUAGGGAAAGUCUUUCCCAUCAGAACCCAGAAAUGGUAGGGAGAUAUAAAUUUGUAUGUGUGUAUUUACUGUCACAUGGGUGUAGGCUGUGGAAAGGACAAGUGUGGAAAUCAGAGGACAACCUCGUGGACUUGGUUCUUCCCUUCCACCUUUAUGUGGAUCUCGAUAUCAAAUUCAUGUCACCAGGUCACCAGCAAUUGUUACCUACCAUCUCCGUCGUACAAGAUAUACCGGCAUGCAAGCAUUUCACUUAAAAAAAAAGUUAUGCUGGAAAAAUAUGGAAGAAAAAAUCCGGAAUGUUUUAAAAAGUAGAGUCAGGCAUGCAGCAGCACAUCUCAUAAUCCCAGCACACAGCGGGCUGAUGUGGGGCACACGAGGUCAGGACAGCAUGGAAUAUAUAUGUGGAGACCUUGUUGAAAAGCAUUUUGUUUGCUCAUUUUCUCAAAUGAAAGAAACCAGAGUAAAUAGUUAACAGCACACAUGAAGCAUUAGUUCCAGGAGAGAUGGUGCAGCCAUAAGAAAGAAUAACCUGGUAUUGAGAAGUGGGACAAGGGCUGGAGAGGUGACUGCUUCCAGAGGACCUGGGUUCAGUGUUUAGCACACACAUCAGAUGGCGCAAAACCAUCUACUCAAGAGCUCAGGUCCGUGGGAUCCGUGCCCUCCUCCUGGCCUCCCUGAGCACCCACAGGCACACGUACACACACACACACACACACACGCACCACGUGAGAGAGACAGAAUAGUUUUCAAGGUUUGACAAAUGAAUCUACAGGUUAGAAAUGUACAAAUAAAGGAAUCCAAAUCACUAAAAACAUGGGGAAAGAGUAAUUUGCUGCUGCUGUUAUUACAGGGUAGAGGAAUCAGACUGAUUCAUUAACUAACAAUGGCAAUGCAUUUGGAAAUGUGUUGUUAGGUGACUUCAUUAUGUAGACAUCACGCAAUGUCCCUAUCCAAAAUGGAUACAUUACUAGGCCUAUUUACUUAUUUAUGAACAGAUCUCCCUAUGUACACUUGGCUGAUCUAGAAUGCACUACAUAGGCCAAGCUGGCCUAGACCUCACAGAAAUAUUCUGCUUCGGUCUUUGCAAGUGCUUGGAAUAAGAUGUGUUCACAAUUGGCAAGGCCAUUCAAUCUUAUAAAACCACCAUUAUAUGUGUGCCACACCACUGACUAUGGCCAAUGACUGUUACACACACACACACACACACACACACACACACACACACUGUAAAAACAGUACAAAGCCAUUUUUCAUGAAAUUUUUUGAAAAUAAAAUUCCGUAUAGUCUGGAAUGAUACUCAGAAUAUUCGGGAUGGCUGCCUCUGGAGGUGACAGGAGAUCAGAGGCUGGAGCGAUGCCAACAUGUCCCAUUGUGUUACUAUAAUAGCUGAACAGGGAUCUGUCCUACCAUGGACACAUACCUCAGUCAUUACUAGGUAUGUGAGUUUGGUUCUUGCUUGUGUUAGAUUUGUACAAUCCGCUGAGCAAAGAUCUGAAAUGAGGCUUGAUUUUCCAGUCAGACUCUGUAUCCUGGAGCGAGCCAUGGUUAAUCAUUACCAGUGUGAACAGCCCCUAAUGACACCAGAAGCUAAUUAUUCAUUGCCCCUUACAAGAAACAAGAACAGAUGAUGUCAUAGCCUGGGAGCAGAUGACCAGAUGUGAAAAAGUAAAACCAUUUACCUUGAUACAGAUAGAUAGUUUUUAUAAGCCAAGCACUGCAAACAACACUGAAUCAUUCUCACUAAAAAUGAAUGAAAUGUGUGGGUGAAGUUACUAUGCUCCUUGGGAGGCGGGAACUUGGGUAACGGAAGGCUUUUCCAGUGCAGUGGUGUGUUUGUAAACGGAGUGAUCUCCACAGGGUACCCUGCAUGAGCCAAGGCAAUUCCUUCAUAUUUUUCUUUUCUUUUUUUUAAAAAAUACAAUUAGCCUUUACUGUUUCUUUUUUUAAAAAAAUAUUUAUUUACUUUACAUAUGUGAGUACACUGUAGCUGUCUUCACACACACCAGAAGAGGGCAUCAGAUCCCACUACAGAUGGUUGUGAGCCACCAUGUGAUUGCUGGGAAUUGAACUCAGGACCUCUGGAAGAGCAGUCGGUGCUCUUCACUGCUGAGCCACCUCUCCAGCCCCAAACCUUUUUUUUUUUAAUGAAAGCUUUUACUAUCGUCUUGUAUGUGUGUGUGUGCCCUCCCCUGGCACUGAAGUUACAGAGUUAUGAACCAUGUAGGUUCUGGGACUCUUCCCUCCUCCAGAAGUGCAUCCCCAAGACUCCAGCUGCCGAGCCUUUGUCUAGCUGCCACUCCCAUCUUAUUUUUAGGAAAUCCUAAAGAGAUGCGUAAUCUCAGGUACAAUAUUCACCAUUCCCAGAGUGGUUUUGCUUUUCAACUUUCUAAAAUUAUGGAUAUCUUUUUCCCUUUUCUUCUUACUCUAUAGCUCAGGCCCGAAGGUAUGGGAAUUCCCUGUGUAACCCAGACGCGGACCCUAACCUCCUGCCUGAGCCUUCAGAGUGCUGGGCUUACAGGCGUGGGUUACCACCUGGUUCUCUGAUGAGGUAGGAAGGGAGCUCUGGGUUUUGUGAAGGGCUCUACACACUGAGCAGCAGGACCAGCCCGUGUGCUCUGGACUCCUAAGCUGUCUUCCUGCAAGCUGCUUCUUCUAUUGUCUGAUAUAAACCCCAGACAUCACAUCACUUCUGGAUCAGCAGUUAUGAUUAACGUUCUAGCUUGCCUGAUCAGUAGCGCUGAAGUGUGGGGCCAAAACGACUUACUCACGAAGGGCUGGGUUAUCCUAGAAUUAUACACCCCAUUGUCUUCUAGUUGUUUUCUGCUUUGAGGGCCAAAUGUUUCUCUGAGAGAACAAUUACUUUUCGUCCUCAGUUGGUAGUUUAAUGCUUUUAGUUCGAAUAGCCCAUUAUUUAGUCCAAUAAAGAGAUAAAACAUCUCUCCUUCAGACAGGCUUAUUCUAGAUACUCAUUUCUAUUCUUUCUGCUGGCGCCCAACACAAUGUGCUGUUUGUUCUGCACUGUUUGGUUGAUGAAACACAUUAGAAUCUUCACACAUUCUUCCUGUGCUGGGAAUUGGAUAGUUAUUGUGACCAAAUGCUCCUCAGAAAGCAAUGUAAGGGAAGAUUUUAUUUUGUCUCAUGAUUCAAGUGACCAUGGACAAAAAGACAAAAGCCUUUAUAUUUUCUUCCUUUCUUUUUCUGUAAAACACCACACACAGAGAUAUGGAAGGUGUCCUUCAGGCAUGUGGAAGUCAGAGGACAGCUCUUGAGAGCCCGCUCUCUCUCCACCUUGUUUCUGGGAUUGGAGUCUUUUCUGUUGCUUCUCACUGAGUACUCGGGCCUAGGCGGUCUGCAAGCUCCGCUGAUUCUCCCCUCUCCAUCGCUUCCCGGGAGCGCUGGGAUUACAGGUGCACACCACUGCGCCCAAGUGGGUUCUGGGGAUCAAACGCAGGUCAGGCUGGUGCAGCUGAGCAAGGCUAGUGCUUCAACUGUCAAGCCAUCUGUCCAUCUCAGGAGGGAUCUUCAUUAAACGGAAAGAAAUUAUUGUGCUCAUGCAAAUAGAAACAAGUUUUAAGUCGACAUUUUAAACUUCUACAAAUAGUGUGGGCCUGACUGUGUCUUGUGUGUAAGUCUUGCGUGGGGUGUGCAGUGCUGUGCAGGUACUGUGGCUGUUGCUGUUCUGUAGAGAGUAGCACGUAACCUUAAUGAGAAAACGAAAUCACUUCAGGUUCACAGCAGGCUUCAGAACACAGACUGCUAUUUCUAUUUUUUUUUUUUUAAUUUUUACUUUUUGGAGACAGGGUUUCUCUGUGUAGCCCUGGCUGCUCUGGAUCUCACUUUGUAGACCAGGCUGGCCUCUGCCUCCCAGUGCUGGGAUUAAAGGCAUGCACCACCAGUGCCCAGCCAGCAUGUGCAUUUUUGACAGACACAUUUCUGAAGGGACUUUAUGCCCUUCUCAGUGCAGGUGUCAAGUAACCUGAUUUCAGUAUUGGCUUUUUUUUUUUAGCCUUGAUCACGUUUGAGAUGAUGUGUCCCAAACUCUCCUCUGUGGGUAUUAUGUUUACCCUUGUGGUUGAUAAAUCUAUCAAAUGUAUCAAAAUAGGUGGAUGUUCUGUCCUUGAAGCCUCAACCUUGGCCUCCUCACUCCCUUACGCCUUCUCCUUGCUGUGCUGUGUCCUCGGUGUCUAGAGCUGCUCUUCCAGCUGUCUCUCUCGCUGUUUACUCACAGGAGCGUGGGCGUUGGAGGCCUGGUUUACUUAGUGCAUUAACAGCCUGUUGUCAUAGCAUUAUUAUUAUUAUUGUAAAAAUUCUCAGAUUUACCCAGAGGAAGAUCCUCAAACUGUUUUUUUUAUUAAUUAAAUUUAUUCUUUGACAAUUUCAUAUAAA